GUCUACGGCCAUAUCACCCUGAACGAACCCAAUCUCAUCUCAUCUCAGAAGCUAAGCAGGGCCGGGACUGGUGAGUACUUGGAUGGGAGACUCACAGACAUUUCUGAACCAUACAGU
rnacentral:rRNA from 1 species